rnacentral:tRNA from 1 species
GGUGUGUAGCUCAAAUGGUAGAGCACUGAGCUUUUAACUCAUUGGCUGUGGGUUCGAGUCCCGCUACGCCCA